GACGAACGCUGGCGGCGUGCUUAACACAUGCAAGUCGAACGGUGACGAGGAGCUUGCUCCUCUGAUCAGUGGCGAACGGGUGAGUAACACGUGAGCAACCUACCCUUGACUCUGGGAUAACAGUUGGAAACAGCUGCUAAUACCGGAUACGACCCCAGCAGGCAUCUGCCGGGGUGGAAAGCUCCGACGGUCAGGGAUGGGCUCGCGGCCUAUCAGCUUGUUGGUGAGGUAACGGCUCACCAAGGCGACGACGGGUAGCCGGCCUGAGAGGGCGACCGGCCACACUGGGACUGAGAUACGGCCCAGACUCCUACGGGAGGCAGCAGUGGGGAAUAUUGCGCAAUGGGCGAAAGCCUGACGCAGCAACGCCGCGUGCGGGAUGACGGCCUUCGGGUUGUAAACCGCUUUCAGCAGGGACGAAGGGUCACCUUGACGGUACCUGCAGAAGAAGCACCGGCUAACUACGUGCCAGCAGCCGCCGUAACAC
rnacentral:rRNA from 1 species